CGAGCUGGCCGGGCGGCCGCGUCGGGCCCGGAGACGGGCCCGCCGAGGAAAGUCCGGACUCCGCAGGGCAGGGUGGUUGUCAACGGCAACCCGGGGUGACCCGCGGGACAGUGCCACAGAAAACAGACCGCUCCGGUUCUCGUACCGGAGUAAGGGUGAAACGGUGGUGUAAGAGACCACCAGCGCCCCGGGUGACCGGGGCGGCUCGGUAAACCCCACCCGGAGCAAGGCCAAGAGGGCGCCGCACGCGGUGCCUGCGCAGGCGUUCGAGGGUUGCCCGCCCGAUGCCUGCGGGUAGGCCGCUGGAGCCUGCCGGUGACGGCAGGCCGAGAUGGAUGGUCGCCGCCCGCACCGUCGAGAGCCGGUGCGGCGCACAGGAUCCGGCUUACAGGCCAGCUCGUCCG
rnacentral:RNase_P_RNA from 1 species